GUAGCCAUUUGUUAUAGUUGUAAUUUUCCAACCUUCGAUAGUUGUUCUAUUUCGUGUCCAUGCUACGCUCAACAGGGUGAAUCCGUAGAUUAGCGCAGCUCAUCGCACCGAUACUGUGUCAUUCCUAGUUCAACGUAUUUAUUAGGGAGCCCUUCGUCAAGUUUGAACGAAAAUUUUCCACAAGCAACGACCGAAACGUUCCGAUUAGACGCUUUGUUAAAACUGCCCGGUACUUUUGAAAAAUUAAAUUCUUCUGUACUUUCGAUUGUACAUCCUGAUGAGCGUCAUUGUACGCAUAACGUCAUAGCAUCACAAGUCGCAGAAGAUCCCAUGUACGGAUUUUUUCAGUAUUCGCUGUGUACGUUAAAUGUAGACGUGAGUAACUCUGUGUGUUUACGGAAGAACGCCUUAUUCAACAACACGACGUUUACGCAAUGGUCACUUUCUUUCUUCAGAAGUCAUGCAAAGCCAAGUCGAUCUAACGUUUCUGACGUUAUGCGCGGUGAACGUCACUAAUUUCGAAUUGUUAGCGUAAACAAAGUUUUCGAUCUUGGCAACGGUAGUGGUUAGUAUUUACCUAGUAUUGCAUCGUUGGUCAACCAAUUGGCGCAGACUCCUCAUAUUUCUUAGAGCCGUUUCAGGUAACUUGUUUCCACAAGAAAUCCACCCUGGCUCUUCAGCACAGAUGUCUGCCGGCGGUUAGUGGCAAAAGAAAUGCUCGUGUUAAUUACGCCCACCUCUAUACAUCGCCUCCCCUGUGCUAGCAAUAAUGGUCGCCAUCGUACUCGAAAAGACAAAGAAAUGCCGUGUGUUUAUGUGGCUGUAACAUUGUUGCUACAGCCAGAAUUCACUGUACAAUGGACAACGAAUUAAAUUGCAUCAUAAAACUACAAAGCACAUUAAGGAGUGUACGUAACUGUUCCUGGCUGUUACUAUAACGUAACUCGACCCCGUAAAAGUGUGUUUAUGAACCCGUUCUUGAAUUUUUUGCCAUAGCUUUUCAGGGAAAUUAAUUUUUUUUUGCUUAGUUCGCCGGUAGUGUUCGAAUGGUGCCAAGAAUGACCCCACCUCCCCCAACAUAGAUUCCCAUGUAGAAAAAGAAAACACAUAUGGUUAGGGAGACAAAUCGUACACAAAACUGUUCCACAAGAUUUGACGUACAAUAGUUCCAGUAACUUGCACACACGCUCUCACUUUUGAUAAAUAGCAAAUAAAAAAUCCCUAAAAAGGGCCAAAUCAACGAUCUGUAAUAAUAGCAAAUCUAGCUGUUAAAUUAGUAUACGAACAUGAUCUAACGUUCAGUGAGCAUUAUAGUUGCAUGCGACGUUAAAAAACCGCUUUGCAAAAGAUCCGACUAAUGCUACGCGACGCGCCCAACAACGCACACGGCACGGGUAACGUUAAUCUCCCGAGCGACAGGUUCGAAUUUACCGGUAGACUUUGGAGUGGACGCACCCGUACA